rnacentral:rRNA from 1 species
CCUACGGGAGGCAGCAGUGAGGAAUAUUGGUCAAUGGACGAGAGUCUGAACCAGCCAAGUAGCGUGAAGGAUGACUGCCCUAUGGGUUGUAAACUUCUUUUAUAUGGGAAUAAAAUGUUCCACGUGUGGGAUUUUGUAUGUACCAUAUGAAUAAGGAUCGGCUAACUCCGUGCCAGCAGCCGCGGUAAUACGGAGGAUCCGAGCGUUAUCCGGGUUUAUUGGGUUUAAAGGGAGCGUAGGUGGAUUGUUAAGUAAGUUGUGAAAGUUUGCGGCUCAACCGUAGAAUUGCAGUUGAAACUGGCAGUCUUGAGUACAGUAGAGGUGGGCGGAAUUCGUGGUGUAGCGGUGAAAUGCUUAGAUAUCACGAAGAACUCCGAUUGCGAAGGCAGUUCACUGGACUGCAACUGACACUGAGGCUCGAAAGUGUGGGUAUCAAACAGGAUUAGAUACCCUAGUAGUC